GAUGAACGCUAGCUACAGGCUUAACACAUGCAAGUCGAGGGGAAACGAUAGAGAAAGCUUGCUUUUUCUAGGCGUCGACCGGCGCACGGGUGAGUAACGCGUAUCCAACCUGCCCACCACUUGGGAAUAACCUUGCGAAAGUAAGACUAAUACCCAAUGAUAUCUCUAGAAGACAUCUGAAGGAGAUUAAAGAUUUAUCGGUGAUGGAUGGGGAUGCGUCGGAUUAGCUUGUUGGCGGGGUAACGGCCCACCAAGGCGACGAUCAGUAGGGGUUCUGAGAGGAAGGUCCCCCACAUUGGAACUGAGACACGGUCCAAACGCCUACGGGCGGCAGCAGUGAGGAAUAUUGGUCAAUGGGCGAGAGCCUGAACCAGCCAAGUAGCGUGCAGGAUGACGGCCCUAUGGGUUGUAAACUGCUUUUAUAAGGGAAUAAAGUGAGCCUCGUGAGGCUUUUUGCAUGUACCUUAUGAAUAAGGACCGGCUAAUUCCGUGCCAGCCGCCGCGGUAA
rnacentral:rRNA from 1 species